rnacentral:ncRNA from 1 species
AAUCGGAGACCCUAUACGCCUACGAGUUGGGCAAUUAUAUUCUCCGAGGGGUUCGCGCCUCGGCAAAAGCAUUAUAAUAUAUUAUUUAUGGAAAGCCGGAACAUAUCUUUUAACCACAAAGUGAGGAGGGUUUCAUAUCCUCCUCACGGGACCGGAAGGCGGU